GACAUCAUAGCCAAGCGGUUACGGCGACAGAUUCGAAUGUUUCAACCACGGAGAAAUGCGGUUAUCUGUUUCCCUUUGGGAGCGCAGGUUCGAAUCCUGCUGGUGUCG